rnacentral:rRNA from 1 species
UGGGGAAUAUUGGACAAUGGGCGCAAGCCUGAUCCAGCAAUGCCGCGUGUGUGAAGAAGGCCUUCGGGUUGUAAAGCACUUUUAUCAGGAGCGAAACGCUGUCGGCUAAUACCCGGCGGAACUGACGGUACCUGAGGAAUAAGCACCGGCUAACUUCGUGCCAGCAGCCGCGGUAAUACGAAGGGUGCAAGCGUUAAUCGGAAUUACUGGACGUAAAGCGUGCGUAGGCGGUUUCUUAAGUCUGCUGUGAAAUCCCCGGGCUCAACCUGGGAAUGGCAGUGGAUACUGGGAGGCUAGAGUGUGUCAGAGGGUGGUGGAAUUCCCGGUGUAGCGGUGAAAUGCGUAGAGAUCGGGAGGAACAUCAGUGGCGAAGGCGGCCACCUGGGACAACACUGACGCUGAGGCACGAAAGCGUGGGGAGCAAACAGGAUUAGAUACCCUGGUAGUCCACGCCCUAAACGAUGCGAACUGGAUGUUGGUCUCAACUCGGAGAUCAGUGUCGAAGCUAACGCGUUAAGUUCGCCGCCUGGGGAGUACGGUCGCAAGACUGAAACUUAAAUGAAUUGAC